rnacentral:tRNA from 1 species
GGGGACGUGGCGAAAUUGGUAGACGCACUGGAUUUAGGUUCCAGCGCCGCAAGGUGUGAGAGUUCGAGUCUCUCCGUCCCNNNNA